rnacentral:rRNA from 1 species
GAUGAACGCUAGCGGCAGGCCUAACACAUGCAAGUCGAGGGGUAGAGGGAGCUUGCUUCCUUGAGACCGGCGCACGGGUGCGUAACGCGUAUGCAAUCUGCCCCCUACAGGGGAAUAGCC